rnacentral:tRNA from 1 species
GGACGGUUAGCUCAGUUGGUAGAGCGUCUCGGUGACAUCGAGAAGGCCACAGGUUCAAAUCCUGUACCGUCCA